GUGAAUCAUCAAAUCUUUGAACGCAAAUUGCACUUUCUGGUAUUCCGGAGAGUAUGCCUGUUUGAGGGUCAGUUAAUUAAAAAUCGGUGUUAUAGCUAUUAAUGGUCAGGCAUCGCAAUUGAGUAGUCUUUACCUUUUGUUUUAUGUGACUUAAAAUUAUGUACGAUUUCUGAUCGUAUUUAAUUUAUUUUUUUACGUUCAUGAUA
rnacentral:misc_RNA from 1 species